rnacentral:rRNA from 1 species
GAUGAACGCUGGCGGCGUGCCUAAUACAUGCAAGUCGAGCGAACGGACGAGAAGCUUGCUUCUCUGAUGUUAGCGGCGGACGGGUGAGUAACACGUGGAUAACCUACCUAUAAGACUGGGAUAACUUCGGGAAACCGGAGCUAAUACCGGAUAAUAUUUUGAACCGCAUGGUUCAAAAGUGAAAGACGGUCUUGCUGUCACUUAUAGAUGGAUCCGCGCUGCAUUAGCUAGUUGGUAAGGUAACGGCUUAUCAAGGCAACGAUACAUAGCCGACCGGAGAGAGUGAUCGGCCACACUGGAACGGAGACACGGUCCAGACUCCUACGGGAGGCAGCAGUAGGGAAUCUUCCGCAAUAGGCGAAAGCCUGACGGAGCAACGCCGCGUGAGUGAUGAAGGUCUUCGGAUCGUAAAACUCUGUUAUUAGGGAAGAACAGAUGUGUAAGUAACUGUGCACAUCUUGACGGUACCUAAUCAGAAAGCCACGGCUAACUACGUG